UUAGCGAAGAUUCUCAAGUUAAUCAUAGCAUCCAGCAUAAAACAUCUCCAAUGUGCAUGUGUCAUGGAUUGGAAAAAUGAUGAGUCAGCACUAGGCUCCAAAGGGACGUUUGUGUAGUAGUGCUAAUCAACUAUACCGGACCCUUUUGCUUGAUUAAAAAUGCCUUAAAACAUGAAAAGUUCACCCGCUAGCUUUUUAACAAAGACAGAAGCUACAUGUGCAUUGCUUUUACUCCUUUCCUUCCUCGCUUAAGCAUUCACUGGGAUUUACUGUGUGGACGUGUUGAUUCCAGCACUCAAGGCAAAACAGGGUGCAGUAUGUGGAUGCAAACAGCAGAGGCGCUGUUGAGUCAACACUAGUUUGCUGUCUAAAGAGGUUGAAAAUUUAGUAGUAAUGUGAAUUCCAGUGUCUGAUACAUGGGGAGGUAGUUGAUAUGAGAUGGUUGUCCGAUACAUGGAAAAGCAGUUGAUAUGAGAUGGUUGUCCGAUACAUGGGGAUGUAUUUGAUAUGAGAUGGUUGUCCGAUACGUGGGGAGGCAGUUGAUAUGAGAUGGUUGUCCGAUACAUGGUAUAUACCAGGGGUGGGCAAACUACGGCCCGGGGGCCACAUCCGGCCCGCCAAGUGUUUAAAUAUGGCCCGCAC